rnacentral:rRNA from 1 species
GAUGAACGCUGGCGGCGUGCCUAAUACAUGCAAGUCGAGCGAAUGGAUUAAGAGCUUGCUCUUAUGAAGUUAGCGGCGGACGGGUGAGUAACACGUGGGUAACCUGCCCAUAAGACUGGGAUAACUCCGGGAAACCGGGGCUAAUACCGGAUAACAUUUUGAACCGCAUGGUUCGAAAUUGAAAGGCGGCUUCGGCUGUCACUUAUGGAUGGACCCGCGUCGCAUUAGCUAGUUGGUGAGGUAACGGCUCACCAAGGCAACGAUGCGUAGCCGACCUGAGAGGGUGGUCGGCCACACUGGGAGUGAACCGCGGCCCAGACUCCUACGGGAGGCAGCAGUAGGGAACCUUCCGCAAUGGACGAAAGUCUGACGGAGCAACACCGCGUGAGUGAUGAAGGCUUUCGGGUCGUAAAACUCUGUUGUUAGGGAAGAACAAGUGCUAGUUGAAUAAGCUGGCACCUUGACGGUACCUAACCAGAAAGCCACGGCUAACUACGUGCCAGCCGCCGCGGUAA